GGUUUAAUUCGACGCAACGCGAAGAACCUUACCCAGCCUUGACAUCCCUGGAACCCGAUGGAAACAUCGGGGUGUCCUCGCAAGAGGAAGCCAGGAGACAGGUGCUGCAUGGCUGUCGUCAGCUCGUGUCGUGAGAUGUUCGGUUAAGUCCGGCAACGAGCGCAACCCUUGCUUCCAGUUGCCAUCAUUCAGUUGGGAACUCUGGAGGAACUGCCGGCGCCAAGCCGGAGGAAGGUGGGGACGACGUCAAGUCAUCAUGGCCUUUAUGGCUGGGGCUACACACGUACUACAAUGGCGACUACAAAGGGCUGCGAAGCCGCGAGGUGAAGCAAAUCUCAAAAAAGUCGCCUCAGUUCGGAUUGGAGUCUGCAACUCGACUCCAUGAAGUUGGAAUCGCUAGUAAUCGCGGAUCAGAACGCCGCGGUGAAUACGUUCCCGGGCCUUGUACAC
rnacentral:rRNA from 1 species